CACAAACCUCCCUGCAGGAACGCUGGAGGAAAUCAGCUGCAGGGGGUGCUCAGGAGCCACUGAUCAGAGUCAGCCCCAGAGAUUGAUGCUGACAGAGAGGAAAAGCCCUCAGCCAUUGUCACCAGGGUCAGAGUAUUGAGGAAACUCAGGGGUACCUGCACCCUCCAGUGUGUCAUGUGGAGACUCACCUGGGAAUGCAAGUGGCCAACAGUAGUGAAGGGGAUGAGCUUGUGUGGACAAAAUGGGAUGUGGAUGUGAAAUUUAUCCUGUGCUGUGCAAAGUACCACAGAGUGAGUCACCUUCCUCACCAGUAGUGUUAGAAAGAGGGUGUGAAAGUUGUCAGAAU
rnacentral:lncRNA from 1 species